UGAGCAAUCUGCCCUUCUCUUCGGAAUAAGCGUUGGAAACGACGUCUAAUGCCGAAUACGACCUCCUUUCGCAUGAUCGGAGGUGGAAAGCUCCGGCGGAGAAGGAUGAGCUCGCGGCCUAUCAGCUAGUUGGUGUGGGUAAUGGCCCACCAAGGCGACGACGGGUAGCCGGCCUGAGAGGGUGACCGGCCACACUGGGACUGAGACACGGCCCAGACCUCCCGUACGGGGA
rnacentral:rRNA from 1 species